CCCGUUGGUCCAGCUUGUCGAUUGUCAGGGAGCCCCCCGACUCGUCGUUUUGAGCGGAGAUCUGGAAGCAUCGUCGUGCGAGCUGUUGAUCCCCGCGCAUCUCCCCGACCCCAUUUUUGGUCGGGAACCGAACGAGGAGAUGGUACGUCGAGACGAUCGCUUUGAGGGCAUUCAAUCCGGGUCGUCCAAGGAUGGCGUUGUAGGCCGAAGGAACUUGGACGACCGCGAAAGUU
rnacentral:lncRNA from 1 species